rnacentral:rRNA from 1 species
UGUUACCAGCGGGUAACGCCGGGGACUCUGGGGGAACUGCCGUAGUAAUACGGAGGAAGGUGGGGACGACGUCAAGUCAUCACGGCCCUUACGUCCAGGGCUACACGCGUGCUACAAUGGCCGGUACAAACCGUUGCGAGACCGUAAGGUGGAGCUAAUCGGAGAAAACCGGUCUCAGUUCGGAUUGAGGGCUGCAACUCGCCCUCAUGAAGCUGGAAUCGCUAGUAAUCGCGCAUCAGCCAUGGCGCGGUGAAUUACCGGUUCCCGGGCCUU